CAGCCGCCACGGUAAUACAGAGGUCCCGAGCGUUGUUCGGAUUCACUGGGCGUAAAGGGUGUGUAGGAGGUUGGAUAAGUCAGGUGUGAAAUCCCACAGCUUAACUGUGGAACUGCAUUCGAUACUGUCUGACUAGAGGAUCGGAGGGGGAAGCGGAAUUCUUGGUGUAGCGGUGAAAUGCGUAGAUAUCAAGAGGAACACCGGUGGCGAAGGCGGCUUCCUGGACGAUUCCUGACUCUGAAACACGAAAGCCAGGGGAGCGAAUGGGAUUAGAUACCCCCGUAGUCCCUGUCUCUUAUAC
rnacentral:rRNA from 1 species